rnacentral:rRNA from 1 species
GAGACGUUGUGUGCAGAAGCCGCGGUAAGACCAGUGGUGCUGGCGUUGUUUGGAAGGUGUGGGCGUCAAGGUCGUGUAGGCGGGGUCGACAGUUGGGCGUGAAAUUCCCGGGCUGAACCUGGUGGCGGCUCUCAAUGCAUCCAGGCUUGAGGGGUGAAGAGGGUCGUGGAAUUCCCAGUGUAGAGGUGAAAUUCGUAGAUAUUGGGAAGAACACCGGUGGCGAAGGCGGCGACCUGGUCCUUUACUGACGCUGAGGCGCGAAAGCGUGGGGAGCAAACAGGAUUAGAUACCCCUGUAGUC